rnacentral:lncRNA from 1 species
GACAGAGCAAGACUCCAUCUCACAAAACAAAAACAAAAACAAAAAAAAAUUAAGAAGGUGAGCAAUGAGCAACAAAAACGUCUAAAUUUUGCAGACAGAAUAAGAGCCCAAAGGUUGUACACACUGAAAAACAAAACCGAAUAGCUAUUCAUAUUUUCCUUAAGGUUUGAGGACAAAGAAGCUCUAGAAGAAGGUUAUACUGGAGCCAGAAAGGAAGCAUACAAAAAUAUCCCUAUCUAUUUUUGUAAAGACAGGGUCUCACUCUGUUGCCCAGGCUGCUCUUGAACUCCGGGCCUCAAGUGAUCCUUCUGCCUCAGCCUCCGAAAGUGCUGGAAUUAUAGACGUACCCCACCACCUGUGGCUGAGUUUCUCUUUCAACCGACAAAUAGAACCUUUCUUGGAGUUAGAAAGUAGGAGAUCAGGAGCUUCUCACUAAUGAUGGUGUAAUUCAGCAAUGGAUCCCUUUUCGGGUCAUCAGCUUAGUGUCAGUUCCUGGUUCUAUCUGACUCAUUGCAGUAGUGGGAGGUUUCGAAAACUUGAAGUCAGGAGGGUUUACAUCAAUUUCACAUAUUACAAACAACAACAACAACUCACAGCGCUAGGGAGGCAUCCCAUUCUACUCAUCUUUACAACCUGACAAGAACAGGAAUACAUUCAACAGAAAUAUUCUUCUCUGCUACGAACAGAUUGAAAUAAAUACCUGAGUUCCUGAUAGAAUGGAAAAUAACAGCUUUCCAUAGGUGCGGAAUCACCAAUGACAUCAGAACAAAAAUUAUUGCUCGGUACCAAGGAGAAAAUGUCUUGAGGACAAGAUGUGAAUAACAAGUUCAGAAGAAGGGAAGGUCAGUCAAA